GAUGAACGCUGGCGGCGUGCCUAAUACAUGCAAGUCGAGCGAACAGACGAGGAGCUUGCUCCUCUGACGUUAGCGGCGGACGGGUGAGUAACACGUGGAUAACCUACCUAUAAGACUGGGAUAACUUCGGGAAACCGGAGCUAAUACCGGAUAAUAUAUUGAACCGCAUGGUUCAAUAGUGAAAGACGGUUUUGCUGUCACUUAUAGAUGGAUCCGCGCCGCAUUAGCUAGUUGGUAAGGUAACGGCUUACCAAGGCAACGAUGCGUAGCCGACCUGAGAGGGGGAUCGGCCACACUGGAGCUGAGACACGGUCCAGACUCCUACGGGAGGCAGCAGUAGGGAAUCUGCCGCAAAGGGCGAAAGCCUGACGGAGCAACGCCGCGUGAGUGAUGAAGGUCUUCGGAUCGUAAAACUCUGUUAUUAGGGAAGAACAAAUGUGUAAGUAACUAUGCACGUCUUGACGGUACCUAAUCAGAAAGCCACGGCUAACUACGUG
rnacentral:rRNA from 1 species